rnacentral:rRNA from 1 species
UACGUAGGGUGCGAGCGUUAAUCGGAUUUACUGGGCGUAAAGGGUGCGCAGGCGGCCCGUUAAGACAGGUGUGAAAUCCCUGUGCUCAACCUAGGAAUUGCGCUUGAGACUGGCGGGCUUGAGUACGGUAGAGGGGGGUGGAAUUCCUGGUGUAGCAGUGAAAUGCGUAGAGAUCAGGAGGAACACCGAUGGCGAAGGCAGCUCCCUGCGCCUGUACUGACGCUCAUGCACGAAAGCGUGGGGAGCAAACAGG